rnacentral:rRNA from 1 species
GACGAACGCUGGCGGCGUGCUUAACACAUGCAAGUCGAACGAUGAAGCUGGGGCUUGCUCUGGUGGAUUAGUGGCGAACGGGUGAGUAACACGUGAGUAACCUGCCCCAGACUCUGGGAUAAGCACUGGAAACGGUGUCUAAUACCGGAUACGAACUUCCGCCGCAUGGUGAGGAGUUGGAAAGAAUUUUGGUCUGGGAUGGACUCGCGGCCUAUCAGCUAGUUGGUGAGGUAAUGGCUCACCAAGGCGACGACGGGUAGCCGGCCUGAGAGGGUGACCGGCCACACUGGGACUGAGACACGGCCCAGACUCCUACGGGAGGCAGCAGUGGGGAAUAUUGCACAAUGGGCGAAAGCCUGAUGCAGCAACGCCGCGUGAGGGACGAAGGCCUUCGGGUUGUAAACCUCUUUUAGUAGGGAAGAAGCGAAAGUGACGGUACCUGCAGAAAAAGCACCGGCUAACUACGUGCCAGCAGCCGCGGUAAUACGUAGGGUGCAAGCGUUGUCCGGAAUUAUUGGGCGUAAAGAGCUCGUAGGCGGUUUGUCGCGUCUGCUGUGAAAACCCGAGGCUCAACCUCGGGCCUGCAGUGGGUACGGGCAGACUAGAGUGCGGUAGGGGAGAUUGGAAUUCCUGGUGUAGCGGUGGAAUGCGCAGAUAUCAGGAGGAACACCAAUGGCGAAGGCAGAUCUCUGGGCCGUAACUGACGCUGAGGAGCGAAAGCAUGGGGAGCGAACAGGAUUAGAUACCCUGGUAGUCCAUGCCGUAAACGUUGGGAACUAGAUGUAGGGGCCAUUCCACGGCUUCUGUGUCGCAGCUAACGCAUUAAGUUCCCCGCCUGGGGAGUACGGCCGCAAGGCUA